rnacentral:lncRNA from 1 species
UACAAAUAAACUGCUCCUUACAGCUGUUUCAGCCUAUGGUCAAGAGUCAAUUCAAUUUAUAUUGCCUACAGAUGUCAGUGUAUUAUGGUUUUUAUGUAUAUAUAUAUGAUGGAGAUGGAAAAAAGGCUGCAACAAUCCUAUGUGAGGGAGAAAGCAGACAAAGAAGCCUGGGUUAUAAAAAACAUUAAGUCAAACCCAAAGGACUUCUUUCAUUAUGCGAAAGAAACAGCCUCAGUACACUGCAAGAUCCAAAAGGAUGGUUCCCUCGCAGACGGUCCAACUAAGAUCAGUGAGAUACUGAAUGACCAGUUCAAAAGUGUCUUUACCAUCCCGUAGGAGCACAGACAAGUGAACGAACCAGUGGACUUCUUUGCUGCCUCACCUAUAACCAGCAAGGCAGUUACAAUGGGAUACAUUGACAUUAGCGAAGAAGAUAUACUACUAGCCUUAGAUGAAGUGGACACAAACUCAACUGCUGGUCCUGAUGGUUUCCCAGCAAUCCUCCUCAAAUUGUGUAAGCAUGCCCUGGCAAAACCCCUCUAGAUUCUCUUCCAGAGCUUUCUUACAAAUGGCAAACUGUCAAGCAAGUUGAAGGAGGGAAUAAUAUGCCCAAUACAUUAAGUGGGAAGUAGAGCAGAUGCCAAAAGAUGCGGAUAUUCGUCCUCAGCCGCCUGGAUUACUGCUCACAGCUAUGGUCACCCACCAGUGUAAAAUUAACAGCGGACCUUGAAACAAUCCAGAGAAGAUUCACAAAGAAGAUUGUCUCUUUGCAACAGCUCAGCUACUGGGAAAGGUUGAAACAGCUAAGACUCUACACCCUGGAGAGAAAACGGGAGAGGUAUGCAGUAAUAUAUAUGUGGAAGAUCCUGGAAUUCUUCUUUUCCUCUGCUCUGUUACCAAUCACUCCAGACGAUGUUCAGUGUAGUGGAUCUUUUGUUGAUACUGACAUAGAAGUGCGGUUCCUUGUACACUGUAAAACAUGUAUUUUUAUUAGGAAUUGUGAUCAAGGAGGCCAAUAGGAGGAAGAAAGAGCAAUGAUAGCAAAAAACCCAGAAUGGGUGGAUGAAGUGAGUUAAUGUAUGGUUGUAGAGACAGAGUUAUUAGAGUAAAAGCAGGAGAGGAAUGAUGUUCAGAAGUGGGUGAUAGAUAACAGUAGAAGUGGCCUAGAGAAGAGAGCGAGUCAUGAUUGACAGUACAGAAAGAGUGAAGUGAGAGUGUAUUGGGUAAAGAUAGUUCGGUGCAGUGAAAGCUGAGGGUGAUAGAACAAUGAGGAUGACAGUAGAAAGGACUUGAGGGAUUGAAUGCUGGUAGGCCAUGUACCAUUUGUUAUGUGAACAGUACAAGUAAUUGGGAGGUUAGUAGUAGAGAUGUGGGUGCUAGGAAGGAAGGAGGGAGAUGAGUAAUAUAUAAAGAAGGAAUCAAGGAUGUAAAUAGUGGCGUACAUACACAUGUGUAUGUAGGCCUCUUUGUAUUUGUUUCUAACUGCUUGACAAAUGUUGUUGGUUUGUCCCCAUAACUUAGCAGUUUGACAGAAAGAAACUGACAGAACAAGUACCAGACUUCAAAUGAGUACUAUAGUUGAUUUGAUUGAUUAAAGACUUUAAGGUGAUGCAGUAGUGAGGCUUUUCACUGAAACAAGUAAAAGAAUAAAUAUAAAUUUAUUUACUCUUGUUAUCCCUCUGUAAUUCAUGACUUCUAUGCUUUUACCGACAUUGCUGCAUAUUCCAUACUAAUCCAAUUGUUGGUCUUUUAUUUCAAUUACCAAAUGUUGUUAGUAUAUAGUAACACUAAUGUAAAGCUGUAAGCAAACACUUUCUUCAGAUUAUAAUUUUCUUAUUAAGUAGGAAAAGAACAAAAGUAAAUAAAUUAUAUGCUGAAUUAUCUUCUCUUUAUCUGCUUCUACAUGUUGGUUUAGUUUUAGAUUAAAUAACUUCCUUUAUUUGUUACUUCCUAAACGACUGUUUCACCCUCCCCUCUUCUCCCAUCCUCUGUUUCCUCUUUUUAGUUUCAUUUCACUGUUUUUUACUAAUCUUACAUCACUGGUUUGUUUAGUAGUGAAUUUGGAUCUGAUUUGACAUGACAUAAAUAAUUAAAACCAUCUGUAAUUUUAAACAAUUCAACUGGAGCUUCAAUAUUUUAAAAUUUUGUAGCAUUCUUCAUGUUUAAAUCUUAUUUUUACCUUUCCCCUUAGUUUUUGUUCUUUCUCAAAUGUAAUCUUUUGCUUGUCAGUAAAAUUUUUUACCUUUACUUCAAAAUAUGUCUAUCCAUCAGUUCCCUAUCAUUUAAGAAAUGUUUUGGAAACAUCUGCAUUAUUUUGCAUGUGAGGUGUUAGUUUUUAGGUUAUGCUCAUCUGUUGGUAAUGUGUAGUUCUCUCUCUCUCUCUCUCUGCCCACCUCCUAAAUGCCAGUUUAAGCUAAGCUGUAACAUUUGAUAUUUGCUGUGAAUGAAGAGAACUGCCAUUGAGAGAGUGGCAUUAGGAAUUUUCUGUUAAUCAUAGUUGGAAGCAAGAAAGAAACUUGAUAAUAUUUGUUUAGUUGUGUAUCUGUAUGGUUCAUUCCCUUUCUUCUUAAUUCUGUUGACGUUGACUGCUGCAAUUAUUAGUCACCUCUCACCACUGCUGUGCCUUUUGGCUGUUAAACUGCACACAGGGGUAUAUAUAGGUUAGAGGUUUUUUCAGGUUUGGAAAGGGUCUCUUACAAUUAGAAAAGAUCCCUCCCACUUAAUUAAAAAGAAAAUAUUUGACACAACAAGCUGUUUUCAGUCAUUUUCAUGUUUCCAAAUUUUUUUCAUUUCCUCCUACUGAGUCUUAUUGGAGCUAAUUCCAUCUUAUUAUCCUUAUUCUGCUCCCUCUUCUAAUGGGGUUAUGCAGUGCACUUUCUGUUUCAGAUAGAUGAAAAAUAAAGUAUUAUUAUACUAGGAGUGUAUAAGAUCAGUCCAAAAAGAAAUCAAACUUUCUAAAAAGAAAUUUAAUGUUUUACUUAAUCAAACUUGUCUCUUUCAAAAUUGCCUCUAUCCACUGUUCAGAUGCCACACAAUGUUUUUUUCCAGUUUUGAAACAUGUUUCCAGAGGUAGUGCACAUGAAAUGAUGACCUUGCAGCAUGGGAUUUCAGUACUGGGAGUUAAAACAGGCUGCAGGGCUCAAAUUGUGAGAGUAGGGCAGCUGGGAGGUGGAAGUUAGCUUUACCAAAACAUCAGGAAUAAGGAGUGACAUGUGAUCAGGUGUAGUGUUGUGGCACAUCACCCUGGUUUUGUCAAUGAGAGCAGGUGUGAUGUGGUGUAGUCUCUAGCUGUUUUUUUCCAAACCUCACAUCGUUUCCUUUGCACUGCUUCUCUCAGGACAUCCAAGAAAAAUUCAUAACUGAUUAUUUAACCACAUGAAGCAAACACAUGAUAAAAUCUGCCCCUUCAAUCAAAAAAGAGGUUUUCACGUUUAAAUGACUGUGCCAUGCAUGUUUUGCAGAAAUGAGGAUGCAGCCCACUCUGAUGAUUGCUUUUAGCUGUGACCCAUACUUUAUCUGGUUUGGUAUUUUCAGAAACUUUUUAUCAACAUUCAAAUAGUUGAGUAGUUCCAGUCUGACUGAUUUGGUUCUCUUUUUUUUCCUAUUAGUAGAUGUGAUACAAAUUUUACUGCUGCAAAAUGUACCUUCAGUUUCUCUUAAAAAAAUUAUGUGGUUUGAACUUUUAUAGAUGUCAACUUCUUAGGAAACUUUAUGGACAGUCAGGUGACAAUUUUCACAGAUAACUACAAGUACUUCCACUAUCGUGGAAGGCUAUCCAGAUUUGGGAUUGUUUUGUUGAAUGUUCUUCCCAAUUUCAAAUGCUGGUACCAUAUACCACAUUGUGUAUAGCUCAGUCCUCCCAAAAGACUUGUAACAUUAGAAAUAUUUCCAUGGUUCUUUCUACUUCAAACAUUUUCAUACAGGCAUGUUGCUCCUUCAAAUUGCAAAGUGCAUUAAACACAUGCUCAGCUAAGCAUCUAUAGAUAAAGCUAUCAUAAGUACUGCAGUCACAAGCACAUUGUGCCAGUUGGUUGGUGCACCAUUUAAAAGUGGUCUCUUUUGUGACUUAUUUGCUACAUGUAUAUAAUCAUGAUGAUUAUAUCAUUUUACAUGUACUUUAUCAUACUUUCAUGGGUUUGACAUGUACUUUCCUGGCACUUCUUUACUCAUCUGUUAUUGUCCAUACACAUUGCAUAUCCUUACUAAUACAAUUUUCUCUCUUACUCACUACAACUGUUUUCUUCUCUUGUUUUAUUUCUCAGCUCAUAUCUUAUUCAGAUACAUUAACAUAACAUAUCCAGCAGAACAUGUUUGCAUGUGUUGUUGUUGUUACUUCUGUCAACAUAUUGUAUGUUCACUUCAUGCUUUUAAGGACCUGUGAGAUAAGAAAAGAUGCAAACUAAACCAUUGUAUAUAUAAUCAUAUUAUAAUAUGGCUUGUCAUUGCGUUACUUAGCCCAUUGGUAAUUCUUUCACAUGAUUAGAGUAAAAGAGGGAGAAAGAAGCAUCCAUGACGUGAGGUAGAGGGAAUGUAAUUGUAGCACUUUCUCAUGGUUAGUUGAAGGGAAAAAGAGGAGAAAUAAAAAGAGGAUAAGGGAAGAGUGAGUCAGAAAGAGGGAGAGACAAGCAUCCAUGAUGUGAGAUAGGGGGAAUAUAAUAUUUAUUAUGUGACUAAAAAAGUUAGUUGAAGGUAGAGGAGGAGAGUUAAAAAUAUAAUUUUAGCAGAGGAGUGAUGUUCUGAUGGUGAGGUGAAGGAACAGCAGAGAGAGAGAGUGGGGUGGGAGACAAAGAGAGUGAUGAUGGUGGUGGUGAUUGGAUUGUGAAUAAGUGUAUUUUUAAAAAAUUGAACUAAGUUUUUUAUAUCACCUAUCUCUUAUCUCAUAAGUGCAAUUCUGUGAAAUAUUCAUGCUUAUUUAUGUGGCAGAUAUAUGCAAUUUAACUAAAGGUUGUAUCAUAUGUAUGGGAUAUUUUCUUUUUUGUUCAUGGGAAAAAUGGAAAAAUAAGAUUGAAUAUUUAUUUUAUGAAUGCUGUAUAUUAAGUCUAUAAAAUUGUUCAUAAAGUAUAUAAAGUAAUCAUCAUAUUCCAAUUUCUUUCACUUUUCAGUGAGUAACAAAUGAGUGACUAUCUAUCCAUACAGACAGGACACAGGCUACGCUUUCAGGUUUUUAGAUAAAGUUCAGAAAUAACCCAAUAGGUUUACCAUUAAUUCCAUGAAAUAUUCACAGGUCCUGCUAGUAAUAGUAAUAAUAGUUAUUGUAGUAAAGUGCAAACAACUUUGAAUACGUAGUGAAUUUUGAGAGAAAAUUGACUAUCUGCAUUCUUUGAUUAAGAAGCUUUGGCUUGGAAAUUUUUGUCAUAUUUUCAGUUUGAUGGUGAGUGGUAGAGAGGUGUGAUGUUGAUAUGGACCAUGUUUUGAUGGCCAUGUUUACAUGUGAUUGGAGAACGUUUGGAUACUUUCAAUACAAAGAAGUCAAUACUGAAAGUAAAAUAAUAUAGAUAUUUCAGACACUACUUUACUAUUUCUGACUCUCUUACAAUAUCCAUCACCAUCAUUUUACAUCCUGCUCUACUGUUCCCAGCAACUAUCAAUAGUCAUGUCUAUCCUGUACUGCCUCUGUUCACCAUCACUUUACAAAGUAUUCUAUGCGUAUUUUAACAUGGUACCAGCAUAAGUGAGGACUAAAUAAUACUCUUUACCCUAUGUGGUCUCUGCUUGUCCCAUGUGUCUUACCUUUUUGUACAAGUGCAACACAACCCUUAUUGUUGAUUAACAUGUUUAAUUAUGUAACACUUCUGCAAUUUGCUUUUUACAACCUUAAUGUUUAUUUCAAUUUUUGUUCUAAAUACCUAUUCCCAAAUUGUCUUCCUAUGGUGAUUUAUUUUCAGAGUAUUGAACUUCAAAACAAAGUUGAAAUUGCAAUAAUAAUAUAAGCUCAAUAGGGUCUUUUCAUCCCUUUAAAUCAUUUAAGCGUUCCCCCUAUAAAAAUUAAUUUUUAAUCACUAAAAUAGAGACGGUAUAAGUUUUGUCAGACCAUUCAUUCUAGCCCCAAUCUAUAGUGCAAGUUGUUAUGCUACCUUAGUACAGUUGUAAUACUGUGACUGUUAAAUGUUAAUCACUGAACAGGCCCAACUCUCUAUUAAAAAAAAACUGAAAGAGACAUGUUUUUGAUAAACAGGCAAAAUUAAUUUUUGCCAAAUUCCUCUAUUUUACAAUAGGUAUAUUUAUAUCUAACGACUUUAAAUUUAAACAUAUUAACCUAUCAACCUAAUAAAAAUACUCAACAUAAUAAUACUCAUUUUAAUGUUAUGUAUAGCUUUAACUAAAUUUAAAGAAAUUUAUCUAAUAAACCAUUAAGAAACAUUAUUUAACAAAACAUACUAUAUAAAGACAAAAGAAUAAUGCAGGCCCCCAGCUGAUUCUUAAGUCAGUAAGUAGAGGAAUGUAACUCAAUAAAUACUGGCAUGGCACUCCAAAAACCAUUCUGUUUCUGGCAACCUGCUGUCCUAAUGAUAACAAUAAUAAUCCUUUAUUAUAAGGCCUGAAAAUUUGGAGGAAGGGAUUAAGUUGAUUACAUUGACCUUAGUGCGUAACUGGUACUUAUUUAAUCGACCCUGAAAGGAUAAGAAACAGAAUUUAAACUCAGAACAUAGCAACAGAGAAAAUGUUGCUAAGCGUUUCAUCAAUGAUUCUACCUGCUCACCGCUAUAAUAAUAGUAAUAAUCCUUUUUACAAAAGGCACAAGGCCAACAGUUUUUUUUAUGGAAAGGAUAAGUUGAUUAUAUUGACCCCAGUAUUCAACUGGUACUUAUAUUGACUAUGAAAGGCAAAGUUAACCUUGGCAGAAUUUGAACUCGGAAUGUAAAGACGGAUGAAAUGCCACUAAGCAUUUUGUCCAGUAUGUUUAUGAUCCUGCCUGCUCACCACCUUAAUAAUAAUAAUAACUACAUUAAUAAUUUCUAAUUUAGGGACAUUGGUAUGUGAUAUUGAUAACAGAAAGGAGGAGGGCAUUUAUCUUUCUUUAGUAAUUAUUGAAAGGGUUGAUUUAUAGAUCUUUACAGAAUGAUGUAGUAUAGGUCUAGCAGUUCAUACAUUUGUUAACUGUUUAAACACUUCAGUCAGCCUCAUGUGCAAAGCUUCAAAUAUAAAGUGUUAAGCAUUUUUUCUCUGUUUGAUAUUUUUUAUUCCACCAUUCAAGUGUUGUUCUCUGUUGCAGCCUGAUAAGUGGACACAGCUUUAGUCAGUGCCUUGCUCAUGAUAUAAUAGUAGUGUAGUAGUAGCUACACUACUCAAACUCAAGAGGUUGAUACUUAUUUCAUUCCACUGUUGUACCUGCUCUCUUCAACACAUGUGUCCAAUCAGGUUUCUUAAAUGUUUGAGUAGCAUACACAAAAGAAGGAGGAUUGUGCAACCUGGUAAUAUCACACACUAUUUUGUUUGAAGGAGGAGCGCUGAAGUUUUUAAUAGGUUUUAAAACUAAACAACAGUUCAAAACAUUUCUAUUUUUAAUUGGAGACAAGGGAAAUAAUUUCUUAUCUUUAAGAUUUACAUCCUGCUUCUUCGUCUUUUUUUCAAAUUCGCUAUGUGUUGAAUAGAAAACUCCAGGCAAACCAUAUGUUGUUCAGGCUUUUUGUUGUCUACAUGUUUUACUUUUUGAGCUAUUGACAUGCAGGCAUGAUAGUGUAGGUAAAAGUCUGCUUUCCAGCCACAUGGUUUCAGGUUCAAUCAUACUGCGAGGCACCUUGGGCAAGAAUCUUAUACAGUAGUCCCAGACUGACUAAAGCUUUGUGAGUUGGUUUGGUUGACAAAAACCUAAAGAAGUCCAUUGUGUGUAUAUAUAUAUAUAUAUAUAUAGGGAGAGUUUACGAAAAAAACUAAAGAUGAAGACAGGUGGUGUACAAAACAAACAGAUGUAUUAGCAUAAUGCUCAGGAAUAGAAAAAGUCUUUUACGUUUUGAGCCUAUGUUCUUCUACAGAAAGGGACACAGAAAAAAAACAAGGAGAGAAAAAAAAUGUGUGUAGUGGCUAACAAUCUAUCAUGGCGUCAUGAUGUAGUGGCUAACGAUCUAUCAUAGCGUCAUGGUGUCAGUGUUCUGUCUGCCUGUCUGUCUAUUUUCUUCUAUCUAUCUUUCUAUCUAUCUAUCUUUCUAUCUAUCUAUCUUUCUAUCUAUCUAUCUAUCUAUCUAUCUAUCUAUCUUUCUAUAUAUCUAUCUAUCUUUCUAUCUAUCUAUCUAUCUUUCUACCUAUCUAUCUAUCUUUCUUUCUUUCUAUCUUUCUAUCUAUCUUUCCUUCUGCCACCACCGAUUAGCAGACUGAUGCCUGAGGGUUGCAUCAAGUGGCUUCUAGUAGCGGGAACCUGAACUACAAUGGGUUUGUUCCACAGAGAAUGUUUCCAGUUACUUUUGGGUACCUCCUCAUAUAACGGUGAAGCCUACUUACAAUUAAUGUUUGAUGUUAGGACACACAUAAUGGGUUUUUUUUUUCAGUUUCCAUUUACCAUAUCUGCUCAUGAGGCUUUGGUCAGCCUAGGUCUAUAGUAAGAUGACACUUUCCUAAAGUGCCACACAGUGGGACUGAACUUGAAAUCCUGUGGCUGAGAAGCAAACUUUUUACCACACCUAUGCAGCCAUACCAGCAUAGUCAUAGUCAAGAAAUUUGCUUCCCAAUCACAUGGUUUUGGAUUCAGACUUACUGUGUGGAAUCCUAAGCUCUAGGCUGUUCAAAGCUUUGUGUGUAAAUUUGGUUGACAGAAACUGAAAAAAGCCUGCAUGUGUGUGUGUGUGUGUUUGUGUUUGUCUUGACAUCAUGUGAUUGUUGUAAAUGAAUAUCUUUCAUUUCCAAUAUUCUGCAAAACAUGUCUAGUCAUGCAGGUGAGGUUUGGUGACACGAAAGGCAUCUGGCCAUAAAAAAAAUCUUGCUCAGUAAACUCUGUCUGAUCCAUAUAAACAUGGAUAUGUGAAAGCAGCGACGUGUGUGUGUGUGUGUGUAAUAUUAGCAUUGAUCUACUUUUGUGUGUAUGUGGUGAGGUGCGGGCUAUUUUAUCAUUUCUAAUAUUUUAUUCACUUAUAUAUUUUAUGGGUUGGAAACAUUGUUUUCAUGAUCUUAAAGAUUUCAGAAGUUUAUCAGUUUGGUCAAUAAAAUUGAAUUUUUCAUGGUGUUUAUGUUUAAACAGUCAAUACUUAAAUCAUAUUAAAGUAAGGACAUCUCAUGAAAAGUAUAAUCUUUCAAUAAGAAAGUCAGAAUAAAACCUGAAGAUUUUGUGAUAUCUUUUUCAUCUUUUAUCAUAUAAUGAUUUUUAUGUUUUAUCAGUCAAUGAACUUAUGUAUUUUCUUUUAGAGAAAAUAUAAUGCAAAUUCAAUCAAUAAAUUUUAUCUUAUAUUUUUAUGCCACUUCCCUCUGUUACUCUUCCAUGGCUAGUUUACUUGAGUUCAGUCUAUUACUACUGUCACAACUAAUGUUCGGAAAACUUAGUUACUGGCACUAAACAAUGCAGAAGCUGAAACGUUCUAUUGACAUUCAACUGAAAAGAUCAGCGUGCUUAAUCUCUUCUUUGACCAAGGUACCAUCUUUUCUGUAAGAAAAAUAAAAAGCAGCAUACUUUUGGAAGUUACUCUCUUUACUUGUUUCAGUCAUUUGACUGCGGCCAUACUGGAGCACCACCUUUAGUCGAGCAAAUCAACCCCAGGACUUAUUCUUUGUAAGCCUAGUACUUAUUCUAUCGGUCUCUUUUGCCGAACCGCUAAAUCACGGGGACGUAAACACACCAGCAUCGGUUGUCAAGCGGUGUUGGGGGGACAAACACAGACACACAAAUACACACAUAUAUAUAUACAUAUAUACGAUGGGCUUCUUUCAGUUUCCGUCUACCAUAUCCACUCACAAGGCUUUGGUUGGCCCGAGGCUAAAGUAGAAGACACUUGCCCAAGGUGCCACACAGUGGAACUGAACCCAGAACCAUGUGGUUUGUAAGCAAGCUACUUACCACACAGCCACUCCUGCGCCUAAGUUGUUAAAUUUAUUUGAAAGUUGUUAAAUUUAUUUGUCAAUUUGUCAAACUAAAUCAGUAAGACUUCUAAGUAUUGAUCACUGGCAUCAGAGAAAAUACUUUUUCAGAAAGUUUACAUUUGAAUUAGUGAAUGAAACCAAUGUGUAGUUAUUUUUUUUUCUUUGACAUCAAUUAUCAAAUAACUUAGAGAUCAUUUUACAAUUGUUGUAAAAGCUGAGUGUUUUGUGACUGGAACACUCAGGACCUCAUUAGGAUUCUGAAGUCUUAAGAAUACUGGGUUAUUUCAGUUGUAUUAUCUUUUCAAGACAUGUAUCAGAUUGUGGACAAAUGGCACAAUGGUAUUAAAUACCCCUAGUACUUGAGGAGAUUGGUAGUAAUCAGUAUUGAUAUUAAUCUAUAUAGUAACUACCAAUAAAUGUGUUAUUGUUCUACUUUUAAAUGUUAAAUCAAUAAUGCUAUGCAAAUCUUCAUCAAUAUUCUCUUUAACUAAUUCAACAAUGCUAUUUUACCAAACCUACAUUGCUGCUUUACUAAAUGAUGUCUUCAGUUUACUCUUUUAUUCUUUUCAGUCAUUUGAUUGUGGCCAUGCUAGAGCACUGCCUUUAGUCGAGCAAACUGACUCUAGGACUUAUUCUUUGUAUGCCUAGUACUUAUUCUAUCGGUCUCUUUUGCUGAACCGGUAAGCUAUGGGGACGUAAACACACCAGCAUUGGUUGUCAAGUGAUGUUGGGGGGACAAACACAGACACACAAACAUAUACACACACAUACAUAUAUAUAUAUAUAUAUAUAUAUAUAUAUAUAUAUAUAUAUAUAUAUAUAUAUAUACACACGAUGGGCUUCUUUCAGUUUCCAUCUACCAAAUCCACUCACUUUGCCUGAAGCUAUAGUAGAAGACACUUGCUCAAGGUGCCACGCAGUGGGACUGAACCUGGAACCAUGUGGUUGGUAAGCAAGCUACUUACCACACAGCCUAUGAGUUUGAUCAAAUUUUCAUGUCUUUCAUGUUUUUGUAACUCUUAGAGCAUAGAUGAUAAUGUUAAUAGCCUACAGUCAUGGAAUUUAUUGAUGUUUGUCAUGAUAUGUAACUUUGUCUUGCUAAUCAUGGUGGAAUAACCUGGAUGUGUAUGAUGUCUGUUGGAACUCCUCCAUGUGGUAAAGGUUUAUUUUCCUGAUCUAUAUGAUUACAUUCCUGCACAGUGGAAUAGAGAAAAUAAAUUCCUCUACAGUGGAAUAGAAAAAAUAUAUGUGAUGGUGUUGAGUAAUAAUGUUCAAGAAUGGGAGAUUUCCGAGGAUUCUAUUUGUGGGUUCUGACUUUCUAGACUUUUAAAUCUUAGUAAAUAUCUCACUUCAAAUUGUUAUUAAUCCAGAUUUGGUUAAACCUGAGCUAAUGAUUUUUCCAGAGAGCCAAUAUAUAAAAUGUAUUGGCUCAGCAUAUUCAACUGACAUUCCUAAAGUAUUUGAAAAACUCUCUCUCCAGCAAUUGACAUAUAAUCGCUGAUAAAUUAUACAACUGAAAUACAGGUGGAUUACUGUUACUCAGUGGGGUGCAUCAACUGGGGAUCAAUAUUUGAUUUUAUAAGAGAGGUUUAUUUGUGGGUUUUUUUUCUGCCUUUCCCCAAAAUAUUAAAAAUGUAAGGAAAGUGAAUUUUAAGCAGGUCAUUAAUGCAUUUUACUCAAUAUCUAUCAUAAUAUUUACUCAUCCCAGAUACAUAUAAUGUUGGUGGCUCUCUGUGUGAUUAGGAUUUAGCUGUUUGAUCAACUGGACUGACUGACUUGUCCAUGAUUUAAUGUGUAAAUGGCUGAGUAUUCCAUAGAUGUAUGUAUCCUGAACAUAAUUCUUAGGCAGACUCAGCUUGAUACAGUGACAAAGCUGUGCUUUUGGAAUUAUAUGUACAAUCCACUUGUCAAGUUUCUCUACAGCUUCCAUCUCCAAUUUUACUCAGGUGUUAGUUGACUUAAAGUUAUAGAAAAAUGUUGAACUAGGCAUUUCAUUGUUGGGAAACUAACUUUUUCAGCCAUACUGCACCUAAUGUGGAUAUACAUCAUGAAUAUUAGUUAUUGGAUUAAUUUUCAUACAAGAAAAGUUGUUGUAGCAAUAAGUAGUUUGUGACAGCCUAACUUUCAGAAUGAUAUCACUUUAUACUUUUCAAUGUUUUUUUUUAAUCUGUAAAAUUUGAAAAUGUCUUUUGAGUCAGUUGAAUGUGAAUUUAAUAUGGCUUUUAGACUUGCAUCAUACCAAAACCAGAAGCCUAUUUCCCUUAUGGCAUUUUGUCAGUUGCUACCUCAGCUUGUGUUACAGACAGCAUUGUUAACUGAUUCUCUAACAUGUUUUGCCAGCUUAUUCUUCUCAACUUGCUCCAUGCUCACACAUUUUAUUCCUUGUCACACCUACUUGUUUUGAAUAAAAUCCAAUGAUUAUUCAGGUAUAUAUUACCUUCUAGGUACAGAACAGAAUCUUGGCUUAAGGUGAUGGUCACCUGUCUUCAUCUCUCACUUAAGAUUUGAAAUUAAAAUAUUUCCAAACUUGUUAACUUACAAUUUAAGAGUUUAAAAGAUAAAAAUCCAAACAGCACAUUUAACUGUUGUCAGAUACGAUGUCAUGUUCUUAGUGAUGCAUUGUAUUUUGACAUAUAGCCAGAACUCCAGUUGUUAUUUACCUCUGCUAAGGUGGCAUGCUAGCAGAACCGUUUUCACAGGCAAAAUGUUUAGUGGCAUUAUAUUCGUCUUUGUUCUGAGUUCAAAUUCCACUGAGGUUGUCUUUCAUCCUUUUGGGGUCAAUAAUUGACUUUGCGGUAUACGGAUGUCCUGAAUCUAUACUUGAUGUGUGUCAUUAAUACGUCCAGGAAUGCUAGCUGAUUGUCUUUUUCCUUUUCCAUUGUGAACUGUAUGGCUUUAUUGAAUUCACAUGAUCUAACAGCACUUAGACAUCUUCCUGGUAGGGCCAGAGUAUAAAGGCGUCAUCAACAUAUUGCAGCCAUAGGGUUGAUUUCAGUGGUGUUGAUCCUAAAGCCAAAUUCUCAAAGUAUUCCAUGUAUAUAUUGGCUAUUAUCGGUGAUAAAGGUGAACCCAUAGCUAAACUCUCUUCUUGUCGAUAUAUAUCAGUGUCCAUACUGAAGUAAGUAAUUUCUACACAGAAGGUCAACAUUUCCAUCAAGUUCCUUAUUGGUAUACUAGUGCGUUCUUUUAGAUUGGUGUCUGUUACUAGUUUUUCUUGAAUCACCGAUAGUGCUUCACCAGUUGGGACUUUGAUGAACAGACUUAUCACAUCUAGACUCACCAUCUGGUUGGAUUCAAUGGGGGUAUCUUUGAUCUAUUCUGUGAAGUGGGUGGAAUUCUUCACAUAUGAUGUUGACUUUCCUGCUAAUGGACUGAUUAUAUCCACAAGGAAGCAGCUCAGUGGAUGACAUGCUGAACCUCUACAGCUCACUAUAGUUCUUAAUGGAAUACCAACCUUAUGAAUCUUAGGGAGACCAUACAUGUGUGGUAGUUUACUGUAGUGUUGAGUCAGUUGCCUGUACUUCAUUGGUGUAAAGUGAUCCUUUUUCUUGAUCAAAAUCUGUGACAAUUCCUUCUCUCUUUUCAGAGUUAGGUCUAUUUUUUUUCUUUGCUAUGGCUACCAUCACUUAAUAUAUAUUUUUCAGAGUAGUCAUCAUCAUUUCCCAGGUUUUAAAUUUUCCCAAGACACCUGAUGAAGGCUGGAGGGUAUAUCAGCUGAAAUGUUGUGUUAACAACAAAGAUGAGGGCAAAUAUCCGUCAAAUGUAAAUAAUGUAAAUGAUGUACAUAAUUCUUCAUCUCUUAAAUAUAAAACUUUAUUAACUAAACCUUUGUCUAAAUAAUUUGGGUACUUUGGCAAAUCCAGUUGAUAACAUCUUCUUUGUUGUCAGCUGCCUCUCACCAUGUAUUUUACUUUCUGUUUAUUUAUUGUCUUUUUUUUUGUAAGCUGCAGAAAUUUUAAUUAGGUUUCUAGAAUAAGUCUUUCCAAAUAUUUGUGUGUGUGUUUGAAUGGGUUUUCCACUUCAGUUCAUUCUGUCAUUAAUUUCUUCCAGUGAUGGAUUGGAUCUGAAGUCUUCAAAUUAGCUUUCUCCUUUCUGGUUUUGAGAAGCCUAAUUUCUCAAGAUUGGUAUUUAGGCAGUGUGUUACAUAUCCCAGGGCCCCAAUAAUUACAGGUAUAACAGGUAUAAACCUGAACUUGUAAUCUGGAUAGAGUUACUGCAGAUUUCUCAAUAGUUCAGCAUAGGUGUUCUCUUUUCCACUGAUCUUCAACUUUAUGUUAACAUCUGCUGGGCAGCUAAUUUCCACAACUGUGCACAGUUUCUCUUCUCUAUCCCAAAUCAUUAUAUCAGGUUUUUUUAUUAUGAAUGGCUAUGGCUUCUACCAUAUUGUGUGUUCUUAUUUCUUUGUCCUUGCGAUUAUCCUUUCAAGGAAUUUCACCCAUGCAAGCAAGGAAAAGUAGACAAACAUUAAAGCAAUGAUGAUGUUGAUGUCUAUCUGUCUGUCUGUCUCUUAUAUUUUUAAUAGUUAUAAAUCUUCCACUGAGGAGGGAGCCAGUUUCCAACAAAGAUACAAGGCUCCAUCUUUGGGAUGUAGUUAACACAGACAAAUUCACAUUUGUAACUUGAGAAAAGUCUUGCAUAUUUUUACUGUUCUGCUCACUGAUUGCACUUGUAAUGUAUGAAUCAGCUAGUCUAUUUCUCUUCCUGAAAACCCCAGUUUAUCCAGAUUCUCCUUUAAGCAUUUACUAACUAAACCUAGUCCUCCAAUUAUUACUGGUAUGAAUAUGAAUUCAUAGUCUGGAUAUAAAAGCUGGAGGCUUCGAAGCAGUUAUGUAUGUAUGUAUGUAUGUAUGUAUGUAUGUAUAUAUGUAUGUAUGUAUGGGCAUACACUGUAUGUAUGUGUUUGUCUCUCCACCAUUGCUUGGCAACAGAUGUUGGUGUGUUUAUGUCCCUGUAACUUAGUGGUUUGGCAAAAGAGUCUGAUACAAUAAGUAUUAGGCUUACAGAGAAUAAGUCCUGAAGCCAAUUUGUCUAAAGGUGGUGCUCCAGCAUGGCCCCAGUCAAAUGACUGAAACAAGUAAAAGAGUAAAAGAGUAUAUGCACACAUACACACACACACACACACACUCUCUCUCUCUCUCUCUCAUAUUAAAAGACACACUUGUUAAAAAUGAUGGAGCCUAUUAUUGUAUCUUUCAGUAUAUCUUGAUGUGUCUGUUUCAAGCCUUCAAGGGUUGCUUCUCUUUCUUCUUAGGUUUCUUGUUUUGAAGCACAUUUCAUCUCCAAUUCACUGUUUGAAGUGACUGAAGAUUUCCCUGUCUAUUUCAACUAUUGUCCUUCCUCAUUCAUUCACUUUCUUUCAUUAUUUCUUUACCUUUUUUCUCCCUAACAGAAUUUGUCCUUGCUUCUUUUUAUUUCUCAAACAUUCCCAACUGCAUUUUGAUAUCAUUCACAAAUCUCUCUCUUCCCUGUUAUUUUAUAUGUUACUGUUCUAAUUUAAUCUUGCUGUUGUAGAGCUCUAUUUUUCUCCAUCCCACCUCUUCCUGUAUCUCUUCAGUUAUCACUCUACUCUCCCUCUCUAUUUCAUCAAUUGCUUGUCAUGUUUGCUGGAUGUCUGCUAACUGUUUCUCUCACCUUGACUACUACUUUCUUUUCCCUCUUUCCUAUAAUGUGAUAGGAAAACAAAAUAUGAAAAAAAAAGAAAGCAAAACACACACACACACACACACACACACACACACACACGCACACACACACUCUCUCUCUCUCUCUCUCUCUCUCUCUCUCUCUCUCUAAGAAAUAUUGGUUUCUAUUACACAAACAGAAUGUAGGUUUCUUUGAGUAGAGAGAUAAUAUUGAGAUGUAUAAAUAAACAUGAAGUUUACUUGUAUGUUCUGUUCAUAUGAUGUCAACAUUCAUUUAAAAUUUUAAUAUUCAAGAACAAACUUCAUUUAUUUAUUAUCCAAUAGCAUGUCUGAACAUAAUGUUUGAUCAAUGAUGAUAAGUUAACAUCAAAGAGAUGUAAAAUUUUAUUCUUUAGAUUCUGUAUUGAAGCGGUGUUCAAUUAAUAUUACUCAUAGACUGUAGCUUUGAGAACAAGUGCUCUAUCAAACACCUUGAUAGUUUGCAGUGAUCCUUGAAUUAAUUCAUUCAAAUUCAAGUUUACAAAGACUCUACUAGCUCCUUUUAUUACACAUAAAGAAUAUUUUCUUUUCUUUUUUUUUUUGUAUUAUUUAGGUUCAGUUAUUUCUCUGUCUCUUUUUUUUCUCUCACUCUCCCUCCAUUAUCUUUAUAAAAUUUUGAUUACACAUUUAUUCAUGAUUCACUUCUUCAAAAACUGUACAUCAAUUUAUUAGUGCAAAUUAACCAAUUCUAAUUGUUGUAACAUUUUAAUAUUACAAAUAUUACUUGUUUUAACAAUCAGUUAAGUGAACUGAUCCCCUCUGGUUUAUUGGUGUUUUAUUUAUUGAGUCAGGAAGAUGAAUCUCAGAUGAUUUAGAAAUUUCACAAAAAUGUAUUAUUUCAUAUUUGUGCUUUUAGUCGAGGUAGUUAUCCUUUGAAAUUUUAUAGAUUGUAUAUUUUCUUUUUCUGUAAUUGUUCUCAUGUAGAACUGGGUGUAUAAUGUUAUUCUUUGAUCAAUAUUUAGUUAGAUAGUUUGUCUUUAUUAAGAGUAGUAGAGAAAACAACUAGAGCACUGUUAAUAGUGAAUCAUAGGAGAUGUUUAAAUUACUCUCUGAAAGCCUAUUUCUGGAACACUACGUAGAGCUUUUACCUUAGCUGUCUUGACUACAAGGCAAUAAGUUCUGUAAGAAUUCAACUGGAUCAGCAACUUGAUCCACAAGAUGUGGAGAUGAAGGUCAUAUAAUGGAUUUGUAGGGGAAUCCACCUGGAAUUCUUACAUAACUUAAUCACUACACAAAGGUAUAAUGAUUAUUGCAUUCAAAUGCCACCCAAAUCUUAAAUGUACCCAGUUGAAAUGUGCUUUGAACUUUCCAAAGAGUAAAAUUGUAAAGCUCAAUUAGGAGUCUUCUGAAUAGUGUCUUCCAAAACUCAAGAUGUGGUUGACGUUUUUAGAUAAUAGAACAGUAGAGUCCAGGGAAACUUGUAAUGUUCUGCAUUGCUAAAUCUCUCUAUAAUAUGGACUGAUUUGUAUUUAUGUUCUGCCAUUCAUCAAAAAAUAGCAUGUAAUUUGGCUUGUAGCAGAAAUAUUACAUGUUGAUCACAGAGAUUAUUGAAUGUCACCCAUGUUUUGGUAAUGUCUCUGUUGCGUAUAUUUCUUGAAAGCUAUGGAAAGAACUAAGAAAGGAAUAGAAGCAUUUAUGAUGAGAAUUAAUCUGUCAUUAAAUAACACUAAUCUUCCUUUCAUGAGUAAUAGAAGACAAUUUUUCAUGAUAACUACAUUCACAAUGGCCAGUAGCAAGUCACAAGGACUUCAUCAACAACUGAAUGUUGGUUUAAGUAGGGUACCAGAAAGGAACAGUUAUAAAUUACUGAUGAAUAAUGAUAGAAAAUAGGAGAAAUCUUUAUGGAAAUUGAUGUUUUAACACUGAAUAUUGUGAUAAAGAACUUUGGGAAUAAUGAUAAUUGAAAAUCUGUUGAAGUUUUAUAAAUAUCGUAAUCUGUCUUUGUAAAUAAAGUACUCACAUUUUUAAUUAACUUUCCUUAAACCAUUCUGUGACUCAUUACAAUAAAAUGAAAGUAAAAACAAAACCUAUCAUUUUUAAUGGCACAGAUAGCUAUGUGCUUAUAUCAUCUUUACCCAUCAUUUUUAAUUAGUGGCAUGUUCUGUUACAUUCAUGAAAACUGCUCUUCUCAUUCUAGUAUGAAAAGCAGACGUAAAAUGGUGACUGUAAUAGUUUAGUGUUAAAAAUAAGUUCUUUGGUAAAGAAUUUAUCAGUGGUUUGACCUGUUGUUUUGAAUGGGUCUACCAUGGAUCAUUGUAUACAAUUAAUAAAACUAUUGAUUUCUUUAUGACACAGGUACAUUGGUAAUACAAAAUAUAUUUUAUAUACUAGGUGUGUUGCCUUUUAUCUUAUAGUAAUAAUAAUAAUAAUAAUUUGGCAGUGCCACCUCUAGCCAAACAAUUAUUCUGUGCUGAUGAAGGGAAAUAACCCGGAAAUCGCAAUACACAAAUAUUGUUUUGAGCUGCGUGGGAGUGCUAAAUUCCCUUGUUCGAAAACAUAAGGACAUAGAUUGUGUCGUAUAGCCAACUGGAGACGAUGUCUCCUAGGGCUAGAUUACAGCAACAUUCAUCCUAAACCAGGACUGCUAUGUUAUGUUGGCAAACAAUCUUUACUACAAAGUACUGUUGCUGAAUAUCUCAUGUUGCGAGAUUUAAAAAUAGUAAUUUUCUAAUUUGUAGAUCAGUGACUAGUUGUCACUUUGAAAACUAUAUAUUUCGAAUGAGAAUUUGGCAGCGUCACCUCUAGCCAAGCAAUUAUUCUGUGCUGAUGAAGGGAAAUAACCCGGAAAUCACGAUACACUGAUAUUGUUUUGAGCUGUGUGGGGGUGCUAGAUUCCUUUGUUUGAAAAUAUAAGGACACAGAUCGUGUCAUACACCCAGCUGGAGAUGAUGUCUCCUGGGGCUAAAUUACGGCAACAUUCAUCCUAAGUGAGGACUGCCAUGUUAUGUCAGCAAACAAUCUUUACUACAGUAAUAAUAAUGUUCAUAUCACUGAGGAAGUAGCUGCAAGGCUUGGGAUGACUUGUACUAUUCUUAUCAUGAUGUUAUCUCGAUAGCAGUGUACGACACUGCAGUGUAUCAGGUUCUGAGUCAUGAAUGUAUACCAGAUGUAUAUGAAAAUACUUACUCUUGUCACUUAGAGGGUGUAAUUAAUAUAUACACACACAUAAUAUAUACACACACAUGAGUGUAGGGUGGGAGAACACCAAGAAAUAUUGAAGUAUGCCAGGUGGUCUCUGAGAAUUCAGCUGCACACAGAUACCAAGCAACUGAUUACAAAUUGUGCUAGCUAGGUCAUGUAGUCUGGUUUCCUGUUAACCAAAGACUUGAUUUCUAUCAGCUGAGGAUGUCACUGUUUGAGAAAAACCAUAUCAGUGGGCAAUUAACACAGUAUAAAAUCCUUGGCUCAUUAGCCUUAGUUUGUUGGUGCUUGUUUUCUUCAAAACUGAAUCUAUCAUCUCACUUCAGUUUCUCUACCAUUCUCUCUUCCAUUUUAUUUCCCUGUCUAUUUUUCUCAUCAUUCUGAUAGUGAGCAAGAUAAACUCAAUCAUGACACUGAAAUCAUAAGUAUGUCACUAGAUGAAUCCACAAUUGUGCACAGUUUCUUUUCUCUAUCCCAAAUGAUUAUAUCAGGUCUGUUGUGCUUACAUUUUAUUGAGGUCUUCACUGAGACAUUUCACCAGUAUUCCUUUUUAUUAUGAGUGGCUAUGGCUUCUACCAUAUUGUGUGUUCUUAUUUCUUUGUCCUUGGGAUUAUCCUUUCAAUGGAUUUCAUUAUAGAGUGUCUUAGCUACAACAUCAUAUCUCAUCAGUAGAUAAUACCGUGAUGACAUUUUCAGACAACUGCUCAUGAUGUGCAUGAUAUGUUGAGUGUGACUCCAUGAAGUCUGCAUCGGUUGUCAUAUUUUACUGCUUUUCCUGCAUCUUUAUCCCUUUUGUGCAUAAGGUACUUGGUUGAUUUUUCCUGCUCCUGGAUUGCAUAUGCAUACCCUUCAAAGUGGGAGGUAGUAAUCCGGCUAUUGGGCCAUGAUAAACUACUUUGAUGAUUGAUAUUACUGUCAUCACGGAACUUUCUACUAACAUAUCCAUGCAUAGUCUUUUGCUCAUAUAGGCUCAUCCUUUCAUCUGAUGAUACAUUGCGGUCGAGUCGUGUGACUUCUUUUGGGCAUGUAUUCUAGGUUAUCAAAGAGUGUUGCUCAAGGAGCUGACGUAUGUAUGUGUGUGUGUGUGUUUGUGUGUGAAUAACAUUUCCAUUGUCAAGAAAAGGAUUAUAUUGGAAAAUGACAAAAUUAAUGAAGCCAUCCAACCAGUUGCUAUAAACAGUGCUAUCAGUAAGACUAGUUGAAACUUCACCACUAUAUGAUAUUCACCAUUAUAAUUGUUCAUUUAAUGUUGCACAGAUUAACUUCAAGAAAUAUGAGUUUGAUUUUCCUUCCUUUUAUUCAAACUUAAAACACAAUGUAUGAUUAUUCUUCUAGAUAAAGUUCGAGAAUUAACUCCAUAAUUAUAUUUAUUUAUCACUGAAACCAUUUUAAAACCAUUUUUGACAUAUCAGCCAGUGUUAUUGACCAAUGCUAGCAACUAAUAAAUGUUAUGCCUCUUUAUGCUGUCAGUCUACUUGACAUAACAAACAAAUCUCCCUCAAGCCACACUCUACCUACUUUGAAGAUGUAUCUUCGAUAGAAUUACCCUAUAUAUCAGGCUGAGUAAAAAGUAAGCAAUGUUUUGAAACAUGAAAUUCAUCACAAUAUAUUUCAAUAAUGCGGAAAUUUUAUUUAUCAAAGUAAGUACCAUUACAAUCAACACAUUUUUGCCGAGUUACAAGUUUGUUUAUUCUGGUAACAUAAAAAUCUGGAGUUCUUGAGCUGAUGAACUCUUUGCAUGCACUUUCAGCAUCAGUUUGAUUUUUGAACUCUUCUUGCAGGAAACCAUCAAGGUGCUUGAAAAAGUGUUUGUCAAUAGGAGAAAGGUCUGGUGAAUAAGCUAGGGAAAAACUUCAUAGCCAAGUUCCCUCUUCUGUUGACCAGUCUGGGACAGAGGAGUAGCAGUUUUUCAUUCAUUUUGGCAAUUUCACGGCAAUAUGUUUCUGUAGUAAUGGUGUUUCUGGGUUUUAAGAAGUUAUAGUGGAUGAGUUCAGCAGUAUGCCAUCAAACAGUCACCAUAACCUUCUUUUUGAAGAGCUUGGGUUUAGGGAAGGUUUUGGUGCUUCAUUUUGGUCCAACCACUGCGAAGAACAUUUUUUAUUAUUGUACAGAAUCCACUUUCCAUUGCAAGUUACAAUACAGGCGAGAAAUGGAUUGGUUAUGAAGGAGAAGCGAUGAGCAAAUUUCAUGUCUGUGCAUUUUCUGAUUUUCAUUCAAAUCGUGUGGUACCCAUUUGUCGAGCUAUUUUGAUUUUCCAAUCACAUGCAAAUAGUUGCAGGCAGUUUUCUGGCUAACUCGAAGCUCUUUUGCCAGUUCUUAAGUGGUUUUACAUGGAUCUUUCUCAAGAUCUUUAAUUGACUGUCAUCGAUGGCAGAUGGACAUCCACUAUGCUCAAGGCUUGGGUCUCCACUUCAAAUUCGUUUAAACCACUUUUGAGCUGACCACUCACUAGUCAUUUCCUCACCAAAUGUUUUGUUGAUAUCAUGAGCAGUUUCAGCUGCUUUAUGUCCUUUUUUGAAGUUGAAUAGCAAAAUUGCUCGAAUAUUGUGUUUUGACAGUUCAGAUGAUUGUAACAACGGUGAAAAAAAAUGCCAAUGUUAAUUUAUUGAUGCAUUUGGACAAGUUUGUGUCUGUAUUAUCAGACAAUUGCAAAAAAAAUGUUUAACAAAAAUUGAAAACUGCAAAAUUCCAGUACAAAUUCUUCAUGGUUUAAAACGUUGCUUACUUUUUACUCAACCUAAUAUCUAAUAUAUAAAAUAGAGAUGUGUGUGUGUUCACUUUUCACAUGAAAAUGGCUUCCAUACUUGUGAUAAAUGAAUAAUUUGACCUUGGACACAUGUUAGGCUCUUCAUUUGAUUUUUUUUUUAUUAAAGAUAAAAAAUAUUGCUUGAUAUUUGUGAUUCACUUCUUUAAAAAGGUUUCUCAAUGUCAACUUCCGGUAUUGACAUAAAAGCGGCAAAGUCUCUCACUCUGUUUUAAUGUUUUCAUUUCUGAGUUUUCAUUUCAAGUUUUAAUUCUCUAUUUGUAAACAACUACGAUAAAUUACCGAAAGAAAUAUUUACUAAAGUUCAUAAAUUUAAAUAUUUGGUACAAGAUAGUUUUUAACGUGCUUUUAUUUAUAUGAUUUUUUCAUUCCAUGUUUAUCUCAUUCAUUGUUUGCGAUGUUCUCUCUGUCUCACACACACAUACAUACACACACACACACACACACAUGCACACACUCCACAUUUGAUUUCAUUAUUACAAAAAUAUCACAUUAAAAUUUUGCAAUUCAACAUGGGGCAUCCAAAAAAUAUGGGCAUUAUUUUGCUUGAACUCACACACUUUGUUAAUUUCUGUAAAAAUUUUUUUCACAUGCUGUGUUCAGCUCUAUUUGUUGUCAGUCACACAUGCACAUGUGUGUUUUUGCAUGUACAUUUGUAUACAUUUAUGUAUGUGUGAGUGAGUAAGUGAAGGGGUGGUGUGUUGUCAUGUAUAUGUACAUACUUAAAUACAUAUGCAUACGUCUUUUCUGUAUGUAUGUAUGUGUACGUGCAUAUGUGAAAGAGAGAGAGAGAGAGAGUGGUGUCUAAGUGGCACUCACUCUCUCACACACACAUGCACAAGAAAGAUGUAUGCCUAUUUAUUUAUGUAUGUAUGUAUACAUGACAACACACCCCUUCGCUUGCUCUGUCUCUUUCUCUCUCACACACACAGAUACACACCUGUCCAUUUGAUCUGAUGUUUGAUACUAUAUGUAUUUGUGUGUGCGCGUGCAUGUGGCAUUCCACAAUUGCCAGAAAAAAAAAAAGAGGAGGAAUUUUCUUUCUUGAUUCUCCUGGUGGCACAGGUAAAACAUUUGUAACAUUGCUCCUCUCCAAGGUAACAAAAAAGAAUUGCAGUUGCUGUCCCAUUAUCUGACUUUGCUGCCACCCUUCUCCCAAGAGGAUGAACAACUCCUUCUGCUUUUAAAUUACCUUGCCACAAAUGACAGUUCAAUUUGUAACUUAAGCAAAGAUUCAGCUUCAGCAGAAGUGUUGUACCAAUGCCACUUAUCAUUUGGGAUGAAUGCACCAUGUCACAUGUCCAUGUGCAAUGGAAGCUCUUGGUAAGACCUUACAGCAGUUCUUCUCAAACUAUCUGAUGUGGCAUACUGGCAGUUUUUUUUAUCAAAUGUGCAAGGGACCAGUAAUAUUUCUUAGUAAUAUUAAUUUAUACCAGAAACAAUAUAUAUAUAUAUAUAUAUAUAUAUAUAAAUUGACAAUUUUUUUUUUAUCUUCUAUUUAUUUUGUAAACAAAUAAUACAAUAUUACAUAACCAUUUUAUAAUGUUUCUUUUGUGAAAAUUCGCUGCAUACCAACAGCUGAUGGCUCACGGACCAGCACCAGUCCGCAGUCCACCACUUUGAGUAGCACUGCCUUACAGGACAUCAGAGGCAACAAUAAAUCUAUGGAAGGAGUUACAUUAGUUUCAUCAGGAGACUUCAGACAGACAUUACCAGUCAUUCUGAGAUGAACAAGAUCUGAUGAAAUAAAAGCAUGCAUUAAGUCUUCAUACCUAUAGAAUAAAGUACUGAAAUUUUUCCUUCAAUACUAACGUGCAAGUUUCAUUACAUGGGGAUCAAUGUGCAAAACAGUUUUCAACCUGGCUCCUCACCAUUGAUGGGAACGGUGAGAUCAGUUUGGCUCAUAUUGCUAUCGCAAUAGUUCGAAAGGUUUUCAAAAGAUUAAUCUAUUUAGAAUUCCAUAAAUAAAUAUUAAGGUGAAUGUUAGGAACAUAUGCUUGUCAAACCACCUGUUUAUUAUUAUCAACAAAUCUUCAUUUAUUUUAGUCUUUGUACUUUUGAGUUCUUGUUAAGUUUUAGCCUUUUCUUUCCCCAUGUUCUAUUUCUAUUUAUUUCUUGUAUCUAUCUAGUUUGAGCUUCUUGAAAUUGAUGUCUGUAGGAAAAAUAUACAUAGAGAUGGAAUUGCUGGGGUUGCAAUACUGAAGUGUAGUGUGUGUGAAAUGUGUGGGUGAAAUGCAGAUAGGAUGGCAAGAGGUGUUUGGGUGGAAAUAAUGUACAGUUUGCUUGUUAAAAUGAAUAGGGAUUGAGUAAUGGGUGUAGAAAAGGUAGACAGCAGAAUCAGUAUGCAUGAUUGAGUGGUUGUAGUGUGUUGACAAAUAAGUCUGUGAGUUAACCUUCUGGGAUGUGUGUAGCCAGCAGCAUUGUGCCAGAUAUGUGAACCUAUAUGGGUCCUAUUUGAACCCACAUAGAGAUCAGCAAGUGAUGAUGUUCGAGGUGGAAACUUAGACAUAAUGAUGCAGUUUUGGCAAUGUUACAGAUGUGUAGUUAUCGUGAGCCAUCAUUAGAGAUUGCAAGUCUAACAUAUAUAUACAACAACUUUGAAUGUUGGUUGUGGUGCACUAGUUAAAUCAGUUGUACAAUUUUGAUUGCUUGGCUGGAAUGGUUUCACAUUAAACUUAUCCUUUAUAAAUUGUUCAAUUUCCUGUUUUCUCAAUCUGUGUGUGCCUGUCUGUCAGUCUGAAUGAAUCAAUCAAUUAAUCAAUCAAUCAAUCCAAAAUAGCCAGUCACACAUACACACAUUGUUUUGCAUAACUUAGUGGAUACGGAAUUUAGCUGACAGACUGUUUUAGUUAUAUUUCUUAGAUCCAAGAAUUCUAUUGUUAAACUCUUGCUAUACAGAAAUCUCAUUGAAAAAGCCUUCUUGGAGUUACAAAUUUCUCUGUUGCUAUGUUUAUAUAUCUUCUUACAGUGUCUUCACUGCUAAUGAGUGUGGCCACUCACUUCAAGCAAAAAUUAUUUCUAUGGAUUCUAGUUCUGAAAAGAAUGAAGUAUUACUUGUUGAAAAACUUGAAUAAUCUGAGUUGUUAUCUAUGGAUUUUUACACAAUAUGUUUACCUUAGCAAAUUAUGUCCAUUAAUGACUCUUUGAAUUUUGCUUAGUGUUAAAAUAAAUAUUUUCUCAGAGAGUGGAGAAUAAAAAUUGAAAAAGUAUCUGUAAAUGUUUUUCUAGUCUGGGGCAUAUUCUUCAAAUAAUAAUUGGCUCAUGUUGGUGGAAUUGGUGUAUGUUCACCUCUCACUGAGUUCAUGACCUAUUUGAAACCGUUUCACUGUAUAUACAUAGGUAUAUACAAGGAGUGUGAAUGUGGGUAUGGUAUUGGUUGUAUGGGUGUACAUUUGUGUGUGUGUGUGUGUGUGCAUAUGAGUGCAGAUAUAUGUGAUUUUGUUAUUUAUGCUUGUGGGCAUGUUGGCAUUCCAGAAGCCUGAAGGAGUCAGAUUCUUGUUAGGAGCCUGCAAAACUUGAAGUAGCAUGGAACCAAAUCAAACUGUUUUAAAUAAUAAAUAUAUACAUGUGUGUGUGUGUGUGUAUGUAUAUAUAUAUAUAUAUAUAUAUAUAUAUAUAUACACAUAUAUAUAUAUCUUAUUGUUUACAUGAUCUUUUAUCAUGUAGAGUUGUAGAACUAACAAAGAAAGCCACAAGCUCAACUCAUUUUAAGAAUGAAAAUAUUCAAUGAUGUUUAUUAUCUUUAUUUUCUGUAAUAAAGUUCAUUGUGUUUGUGUAUAUAUAUGUAUGUGUAUUAAAAGAAAGAAUAAUCUGAGGUUGUAUGUAGAAAGAAGUGAUGAUCAAUGAAAUCUGAUUAGAAGCAGAAUCUUCUCAAGAAUGUAAUAAAAGAUCUAAAUCACGAAUCAAUAUAUGUUGUAAAAACUAUCAAGGAUGUUCACAAGAAGUCAAUGAAGGAAUGUUUAAAUUGUGUUCAGUAAUAUAUAAUACACUGUACAAAGUACUUACAAGAAAUGUUUGAAAUGUAUAUCAUAAUUGUAUAUUACAAUCAAGUACAUUUUAGUUCAUGGAGAUUAUAAUGUAAUUUAUUCUGAAAUUUAUUUAUAUUAACUACUAGGCUACCUGUGACCUGUUGGGUCACCUGGAAGGUCUGAGAUUCCCAGCAAUGGAGUUUUGUUUUGUGGGUAUUUUUUUUUCUUUCCAACAAAUGUGACAUUGAAAUCACAUGUAAAUGGCUCCUUUCUCCCGAAAAGAAAGAUUUGGCUGCUAUUUCAUGCAUGCCAUGCUACCAUGCAACAGGUAUUUUGGGACCUUUAUUGCAAAUAGCAGCCAAAUCUUUGGAGCUGAGAUAUGUUGCAUGCAUUCAAAAAAUUCUUGUAAUGGUAUUCUCUUGGGAUGAUCUUUUGCUUUGACUCUCAGAACUGUCAUCUAAUCAGCUGGUUUUGUUUAUUCGUUUUUAUUUGUUUCAGUCAUUUGACUGUGGCCAAGCUGGAGCACCACCUUUUGUUUGUUAAUUUUGUUUAGUUAUUUUUGUUUUAAAGUGAAAGAGAGGAGAAAGUGGAAGAUAUAUGAACAUGUAUGUGAAAUGGAUGUGUGUGUGUGAGAGAGAGAGUAAGAGUGAGAAAGAGAGUGCCACUUAUACAUAAUGAGAUCAUGCAUGUUCACUCACUCUCUCUCUCUAACAUAUGCACACGUACAUACAAAAAGAUGUACGCAUAUGUAUUAAUGUAUGUAUGUAUACAUGACAACAACACCCCCUUCACUCUCUCUUCCUCUUCCACUCUUCCAUACACACAAGUCUAUUUCAUAUACAUGUAUGUAUAUCCUUUACUUUCUCCUCUCUUUCACAUUUUUAUCGCCAUUCACUUGAAAAUAAUAAUAAUAAAAAUAAAAAGAAAACACUGAGACAGGAGAGGAGAUGUACUAUAAGAGUGUGAGAGGAGAUAUUUAGAGACAGCAAGUGUCUCCCCUCACAAGAUAUUAUAUUUUUAUAUAACUGUAUGGAUUGCAUGCUACAUUGAUUAUUGACAAAACAUUCUACUUUUGGGAAUUGAACUUAGAUCAGAACCUAGCCAGACAAGAUGUGUUGUAGCAUGUCUGUAUUGUAUACACAAAAUGUUUAUUAUGUUGAUGUAUUUAUUGAAUACCAGUUUUAGCUAAUUUCUUUUAAAAUGUCAUCAUUUUUAAUAGCACAGGUAUACGAGUAAUCAUAUAGUUAAUAGGGGUCUGUAAUUAGUUAAGAUAGAAGCCAGGUUUGCUUCACAGCACUUUAUUUGGUGCUGCAAUAGUCUGAAUGUAGUUAUGUUUAACCAUGCUUACUAUUUUGCUUUGGUUAUUAAAAAAUGUUAGAAAUAUAUUGGGGUUGAUUUAAUUAUGGUAUGAAGUUGGUAUGGUAUUUUCACUUCAGUUACAUAAGAAUACAAUCAUAAGUACAGUUGAAGUAGUAUAAGCUUUUGCAUCUGCAGCUAACAUCUACAGCAUACUCAUUACCAUUAUCACAUUUUGUAUACAAGGAUGACAACCCUCUCUGUUGCUCAUUAACUGGCCAUAAAUCUGACAUAGGAAGUUGACUGAAGCAUAUAAGGUUGUGAACCAAUCCUGAAACUCGAGAGAGUGGUCGUGUAGUAAUUUAGAACUAGUUGAACAUAACCUUACAUUGAGUGAGAUCUUGUUUCUGGGAACUAACACUAAAUCAUUUUGGGAAAAGUUUAACGUCACUAACACCACAGCUGUCUGAAUUCUUGGGUUUUAUGAAUGGUUUAAUUGCUGCAGAUAAAAACUCUCUAUUCCUAUAUCACAUUAUUCCUUGUUGAAAGUUUCUAUUGGUGAUUUCCAACAGCUUUAGAGAUUCAAAAGAGUUUUGUUUAAUAAUUUAUUGACCAGUAUAAAUAGUUAGAGUUGUAGUAACAAGGACU